UACGAAGGGGGCUAGCGUUGCUCGGAAUUACUGGGCGUAAAGCGCGCGUAGGCGGAUCGUUAAGUCGGGGGUGAAAUCCUGGAGCUCAACUCCAGAACUGCCUUCGAUACUGGCGAUCUUGAGUCCGGGAGAGGUGAGUGGAACUCCGAGUGUAGAGGUGAAAUUCUAGAUAUUCGGAAGAACACCAGUGGCGAAGGCGGCUCACUGGCUCGGAACUGACGCUGAGGUGCGAAAGCGUGGGGAGCAAACAGG
rnacentral:rRNA from 1 species